rnacentral:misc_RNA from 1 species
AGAAGUAAAAGUCGUAACAAGGUCUCCGUUGGUGAACCAGCGGAGGGAUCAUUACAGAGUUUACAACUCCCAAACCCAAAUGUGAACAUACCAAUCGUUGCUUCGGCGGACUCGUCCCGGCGUCCGGGUGGCCUUGUGCUGCCCGCGGCCCGGAUCCAGGCGGCCGCCGGAGACCAUCAAACCCUUUGUAUUAUACGUAUCAUCUGAAUCCGCCGCAAGGCAAAACAAAUGAAUCAAAACUUUCAACAACGGAUCUCUUGGUUCUG